rnacentral:siRNA from 1 species
UGCCAAUAUGGAUGGCUUGCC